CGGUGGCUGUGGCACAGGCCAGCAGCUAUAGCUCCAAUUCAACCCCUAGCCUGGGAACUUCCAUUUGCCGCAGGUGUGGCCCUAAACAACAAUAGCAGCAACAACAAAGACGAGGCUUCUGGCUCAUUCCAACAACCAGAUUCUGUGGACACAAAGGUGUUUGCUUCAUAGAACAAAGAGCAAGAUUCCAGAUGCCUCCCCUCUUGAAUGACAGUCAUUUCUAAGUUUUUAAAACAUCAUUUAUUGGUCCUCAUUAUGUACCAAAUAUUAUGCCACGGAUGUUCUGUAUUUCAUGAUUUUAAAAUCUUUUGAAUGACCACAUAACAUAAAUAUUAAAACACCCACUCUACAGAUGCGUUAACUGAGGCUCAGGGGCAGUCGAGAGACUUGCCCACCCCACACACCUCUAAGUGGUAGGUCCGGGAACCAAACCCCAGUCCUCUGGGCUUCAAACCCCUCAACUUCCACCUCACUGUCGGUCUGCAGGUUGGGCGUUCAACCCAGUCUUCGCCAAAGCCCGUGAGGAGCGAGGCCGCUGAGAGGUUUCCCGUUUCCCAGCAUCACUGCAGUGGGUUCAGCUGGGAUACUUCACGAAAGAAUUACACAUCGACUGCCCUUGGCACAGACCGACCAGGCAACGCGCGUACCGCAGUGUCGCCCUCCUCCUCGCCAUUGCCGUUGUCAGAAGGGCUCCCAGGUCCGGGCUCUCCCACUCCCCGCCAGGCGGCAGACACCUGCGAGAUGACCGGUCCCCUCCUUGGCCCUUCCCCUGCAUCAUCCAGCUUGAUCCUCCCAAAGAAUGUUGACCAAAAUUCCCUGGUUAUAAAAACUACACAUUCUUUA